rnacentral:rRNA from 1 species
GAUGAACGCUGGCGGCGUGCCUAAUACAUGCAAGUCGAGCGAACAGACGAGGAGCUUGCUCCUCUGACGUUAGCGGCGGACGGGUGAGUAACACGUGGAUAACCUACCUAUAAGACUGGGAUAACUUCGGGAAACCGGAGCUAAUACCGGAUAAUAUAUUGAACCGCAUGGUUCAAUAGUGAAAGACGGUUUUGCUGUCACUUAUAGAUGGAUCCGCGCCGCAUUAGCUAGUUGGUAAGGUAACGGCUUACCAAGGCAACGAUGCGUAGCCGACCUGAGAGGGUGAUCGGCCACACUGGAACUGAGACACGGUCCAGACUCCUACGGGAGGAAGCAGUAGGGAAUCUUCCGCAAUGGGCGAAAGCAUGACGGAGCAACGCCGCGUGAGUGAUGAAGGUCUUCGGAUCGUAAAACUCUGUUAUUAGGGAAGAACAAAUGUGUAAGUAACUAUGCACGUCUUGACGGUACCUAAUCAGAAAGCCACGGCUAACUACGUG